rfam:Camelus ferus unplaced genomic scaffold scaffold726, whole genome shotgun sequence.
GGUACUAGAAAAGAGGUUAUCCGUGUUUCUUCGCUUUAUUUAUGACGAAAAAUACGGGUGCACUUCUAUUUGAGUAUC